rnacentral:rRNA from 1 species
UACGGAGGGUGCGAGCGUUGUCCGGAAUCAUUGGGCGUAAAGGGCGCGUAGGUGGCGGGACAAGCGUGCGGUGAAAGCUCGGGGCUCAACCCCGCGUCGGCCGUGCGAACUGUUUUGCUUGAGCACUGUAGAGGCAGGCGGAAUUCCGGGGUGUAGCGGUGGAAUGCGUAGAGAUCCGGAAGAACACCGGUGGCGAAGGCGGCCUGCUGGGCAGUAGCUG